GGUCAGAGAGAGGGGGUGUGACAAGGUCAGAGAAAGGGACAUGAUGUGUUCUGAGAGAGGGACAUGACAAGGUCAGAGAGUGGGGUAGAGAGGGGUGUGACAAGGUUCGAGAGAGGGAUGUGACAAGGUCAGAGAGAGGGGUGAGACAAGGUCAGAGAGAGGGGUGUGACAAGGUCAGAGAGAGGGGUGUGACAAGGUCAGAGAGAGGGACGUGACAAGGUCAGAGAGUGGGGCAGAGAGGGACGUGACAAGGUCAGAGAGAGGGACGUGACAAGGUCAGAGAGAGGGGUGUGACAAGGUCAGAGAGUGGGGCAGAGAGGGGUGUGACAAGGUUCGAGAGAGGGACGUGACAAGGUCAGAGAAUGGGACAUGACGAGGUCAGAGAGAGGGGUGUGACAAGGUCAGAGAGACGGACGUGACAAGGUCAGAGGGAGGGGUGUGACAAGGUCAGAGAGAGGGGUUUGACAAG